rnacentral:lncRNA from 1 species
UGCCUUAGACUUCUCCUACACUAUGUCCAGUCGGAAACCUCAUGAGUAGAUGGGUAGGUGGAUACUACGACAUGAAAAAUGUUCAAUUCAGGCUGACCCAAAAUGGCGUUGCAUGCAAAGGGGACCUUCAUGACCUAAAAAUCGAGUAUCAAAGUCAUUUUCCUUGAGGAUCGGCUAGCUAUGUGAUGAGCGUACAAAAGUAAAAUUUUCAUAUUAUCUUAAUUAGUAUUAUAGCUAAUCUUUAUUAAUAAAAUUAAUUAAUUAAUGUUUUAUUUGUGUUUAAGUGCAAGUAAUUCAAAAGACCCAAUAACGCUGGGUUUGAGCCCAAAGCCUGGUGUUCCGAGCUCAACAAAUCCUUAGCGUCUCAUCUGAGCCUCAAGUCGCCCGUCAUCCGCAUGCAAUCCAUAUCACUGUAACCACAUGUUUCAGCUAGCACAAAUGCCCGCAUCGUGGAGCUUCCUAGCAUCAUCAAAACUGUCCAUGUC